UUGAAAUCCCUCAUAUUUGAAAGGAGAAUGGAAGGUCUUGCUUCAGUGGGAGCCUCAUUUGCACUGUCUCCUUUGAGCUUCCAGCCGAGGCAUCUUGCCAGCUCCGUUUCAUGCAGAUAAGGACAGAGUGGCACAAAAUCACGUGGGUAGUGACAGAAACCACGAUCGACUAAGGAUUGGAAUCCAGCAAGCAACACCAAGCCUUCCCAGGAAAGGAGAGGAUCCUGUAGCCACACCAGCUGGGUUUCAAUGACUUGUCCCUGCCAUCUCUGCUGUGUGGCCUUGAGGAAGCCACAUCUCAUCCCUGAGGAAUAUGAGCCCAGGAGAAGGAAGCUACUUGGACACUUGUUCCAAUUACACAGAGAAGGACAGCCAGGCAAGAGCUGGCCCUACCGUGCCUCUUCUGGGGAGAAGCUAGAGAG